rnacentral:lncRNA from 1 species
CACCCAGCGGAAAAGGCGGCUCCCGGCGCCAGCCGCGCGGGGGAAAGCCCAGCUCCGAGACGCGCUCCGCCGCCGCCGCCGCGCGCCUCAUUAGCCGGGGCCCCGCCGGGCCCGCCCCCGGCCCCGCCCAGACCCGCCCCCUCGUUAGCCGGGCCCCGCCCCCUCAUUAGCCGGGCCCCGUCGAGGCCGCUUCCGGCCCCGCCCCCGAGGCCCCGCCCCCUCAUUAGCCGGCCCCCGCCGAGCCCGCCCCCGAGGCCCCGCCCCCUCAUUAGCCGGAAGCCCCGCCCCGCGCUUCUCAUUAGCGGGGACCCGAGGCCGACCCCGGCCCCGCCCCUUGGCCCCGCCCCCGCCACAUUAGCCGGAAGCCCCGCCCCGCGCUUCUCAUUAGCGGGGACCCGAGGCCGACCCCGGCCCCCCUUGGCCCCGCCCCCGCACCGCCUAAGCCGGGAGCCCUGCCCCCUCCGCGGCCCCGCCCCCUCCGCGGCCCCGCCCCGCCCCCUCACCCCGCGCUCCCCGCCCGGCGCCGGCUGCCCGGACCCCAGUCCCAGGAACUCCUCGCCUCCGCCCAGCUGCAAGGCGACGAGUGCCCCGCCCGGGGGGCGCCGAGGCCGUCCUGCCGUCCCGCCCGGCCCCGGCCCCGGGCAUCCGCGGGCUCCCGCAGGCUCCCGGGGAGCAGCGCCCGGCCCGGGCACUACCAGCCUCCCCUGGGCGGGCCGCCUCCCUCGGGCCUCGGGACGCCCCGUGACCUCAGGCCACCUGGGGGAGCCGGGGACGCUGUGCUCGCCCCGAGCCUCUCCUGCUCCUGCAUUUUGCGUCUCUGCCCUGGCGAAUGAUGAGACCUCCGGGGGGGGGGGGAGGGUGCCCAUCACGGCAGCGCAGCCCACCUGGCCCACCUGGCCCACCUGGCCCACCUGGCCGAGGGGACGAAGGCCUCCGCCCCACCCGCUGGCUCCCGAGGCCGAACAAGCAAAGAAUCGAGGAGGAGCUCGGGGAACGAGACCCCCCAUCCUCCGCGUCCCGCUGAAGAUUCCGCCCUUACUCCGAGGGGGAGAGGCAAUCACUGAGGUCCUACAAAGAUUUCUACCAAGACCAAGCUUUAAAGGACGCGCAGUUCCGCGCACCAGUGACCAGCCUGCACCUCCGCCACCUCGGCUCCCCCCUGCCUUCCUGGGACGCGUGGGCAUCCCCGAGGAUCUCUACCAGGACCGGCUGCUCUUCGCUUUAACAGGAAGCCAGUCGUCAGCUCACCUGGAGAGGGGGGCGUGCGACUCGGUCUCGGAGGGCAGGUGUAGUUGA